GGACGAAGAUGGGCCAUGAGGUCGUUAGUUGGCUAUUUCCAGAGGCCAAAAGGGAGAGUGAUCGGAUUUCCAGAGGCCAAAAGGGAGAGCGAUCGGAUUUUUAUGAGUGUUUUUUAUAUGUCCCGUGGAUCUGCAGGGACGAAGAUGGGACAUAAGGUCGCUAGUUCGCUAUUUCCAGAGGUCAAAAGGGAGAGUGAUCGGGUUGCCAUGAGUGUUUUCUUAUGUCCCGUGAAUUUGCAAGAACAAUGGGAGACAAGGUCGCUAGGUCGCUGUUUCCAGAGGCCAAAGGGGAGAGUGAUCAGAUUUUCAUGAGUGUUUUUUAUGUCCCGUGAAUUUGCAAGAACGAAAAUGGGAGAUAAGGUCGCUAGGUCGCUAUUUCCAGAGGGCAAAAGGGAGAGUGAUCGGGUUGCCGUGAGUGUUUUCUUAUGUUCCGUGGAUCCGCAGGGACGAAGAUUGGACAUAAGGUCGCUAGGUCGCUAUUCUCAAACGUUUUCACCUUUCACAUCAACUAUUACCAAAGACCAAAAGGGAGAUAUCUCGAGUCCUAAUAAGAGUUCUUUUUAUACAUGUCCCGUGAAUCUGCGGGGAACGUUAUAGAGGGAGGAAGAAGGGAAAAGUAUUUAGACACAUGACACGAGACGCAGAUUGAUCCCCUCCG